rnacentral:rRNA from 1 species
AGUUUGAUUAUGGCUCAGAUUGAACGCUGGCGGGAUGCUUUACACAUGCAAGUCGAACGGCAGCACGGACUUCGGUCUGGUGGCGAGUGGCGAACGGGUGAGUAAUGUAUCGGAACGUGCCUAGUAGCGGGGAUAACUACGCGAAAGCGUAGCUAAUACCGCAUACGCCCUUCGGGAAAGCGGGGACCUUCGGGCCUCGCACUAUUAGAGCGGCCGAUAUCGGAUUAGCUAGUUGGUGGGGUAACGGCUCACCAAGGCGACGAUCCGUAGCUGGUUUGAGAGGACGACCAGCCACACUGGGACUGAGACACGGCCCAGACUCCUACGGAGGCAGCAGUGGGGAAUUUUGGACAAUGGGGGGAAACCCUGAUCCAGCCAUCCCGCGUGCGAUGAAGGCCUUCGGGUUGUAAAGCACUUUUGGCAGGAAAGAAACGGCACGGGAUAAUACCCCGUGCAACUGACGGUACCCGCAGAAUAAGCACCGGCUAACUACGCCAGCAGCCGCGGUAAUACGUAGGGUGCAAGCGUUAAUCGGAAUUACUGGGCGUAAAGCGUGCGCAGGCGGUUCGGAAAGAAAGAUGUGAAAUCCCAGAGCUUAACUUCUUUGGAACUGCAUUUUUAACUGAGCUAGAGCAGGUCAGAGGGAGGUGGAAUUCGCGUGUAGCAGUGAAAUGCGUAGAUAUGCGGAGGAACACCGAUGCAGAAGGCAGCCUCCUGGGAUAACACUGACGCUCAUGCACGAAAGCGUGGGGAGCAAACAGGAUUAGAUACCCUGGUGGUCCACGCCCUAAACGAUGUCAACUAGCUGUUGGGGCCUUCGGGCCUUGGUAGCGCAGCUAACGGGUGAAGUUGACCGCCUGGGAGUACGGUCGCAAGAUUAAACCAAAGGAAUUGACGGGGACCCGCACAAGCGGUGGAUGAUGUGGAUUAAUCUGGAUGCAACGCGAAAACCUUACCUACCUUGACAUGUCUGGAAUCCCGAAGAGAUUUAAAUGUCACAAGAGAACCGGAACACAGGUGCUGCAUGGCUGUCGUCAGCUCGUGUCGUGAGAUGUUGGGUUAAGUCCCGCAACGAGCGGCAACCCUUGUCAUUAGUUGCUACGAAAGGGCACUCUAAUGAGACUGCCGGUGACAAACCGGAGGAAGGUGGGAUGACGUCAAGUCCUCAUGGCCCUUAUGGGUAGGGCUUCACACGUCAUACAAUGUCGGGACAGAGGGUCGCCAACCCGCGAGGGGGAGCUAAUCCCAGAAACCUGAUCGUAGUCCGAUCGCAGUCUGCAACUCGACUGCGUGAAGUCGGAAUCGCUAGUAAUCGCGGAUCAGCAUGUCGCGGUGAAUACGUUCCCGGGUCUUGUACACACCGCCCGUCACACCAUGGGAGUGGGUUUUACCAGAAGUAGUUAGCCUAACCGUAAGGAGGGCGAUUACCACGGUAGGAUUCAUGACUGGGGUGAAGUCGUAACAAGGU